rnacentral:pre_miRNA from 1 species
AAUGCUAUUGCUGGGUCAAUUGGUAAAUCUAUUUUAUUGUUUGAGGAAAUAUGAGGCUAUUUUCCAAAGAGGCUGCACCAUUUUAUAUUCCCACCAGCAU